AAGUCAUGAUGAUCUCUGUCCGAUGCCAUAUAACUACAAAUAAAACUGUGUAGAGUCCAUCGUUAAAUAAAACAUUUCUUGCUUUUUUUCAUCUCUUUCAUUGGGAUUUCAUGUUUAUGGUUAACUUAUUUUAGACGAAUUGGAGAAAAUGCAUAAAGAUUGUAGGAAAUAUCAACAAAAAAUUUCCUCUUUGGAAGAGGAGUUAAAGAAGACUAGAGAACACCUAGCGUCAAUAGAAGACAGCCUAAGAAAGUCCCAGUCAGGAACUAAUCUACAUAUGACGUCAUUGACAGACGAGUUAGAGAUGGUGAAUGCAGAGUCUAAG